rnacentral:rRNA from 1 species
ACGCUCGACACCUACGGGAGCAGCAGUGGGGAAUAUUGCACAAUGGGGGAAACCCUGAUGCAGCGACGCCGCGUGAGUGAAGAAGUAUUUCGGUAUGUAAAGCUCUAUCAGCAGGGAAGAAAAUGACGGUACCUGACUAAGAAGCCCCGGCUAACUACGUGCCAGCAGCCGCGGUAAUCUGAGGCGGCUGGCAAGGC